rnacentral:rRNA from 1 species
UACCUGCAGCUCGAGUGGUAACCGCUAUUAUUGGGCCUAAAGCGUCCGUAGCCGGUUUGGUAAAUAUCUGGGUAAAUCGUGAGGCUUAACUUCACGAAUUUCGGAUAGACUACCAGACUUGGGAUCGGGGGAGGUCAGAGGUACUCCAGGGGUAGCGGUGAAAUGUUGUAAUCCUUGGAGGACCACCGGUAGCGAAGGCGUCUGACUAGAACGAGUCCGACGGUGAGGGACGAAGCCCUGGGGCGCAAACCGGAUUAGAUACCCGGGUAGUCCAGGGUGUAAACGAUGUGGGCUUUGUAUUGGAGGUCCCACGUGGGCGUCCAGUGCAGAAGAGAAGUUGUUAAGCCCACCGCCUGGGAAGUACGGUCGCAAGGCUGAGACUUAAAGGAAUUGGCGGGGGAGCACCACAAGGCGUGAAGCUUGCGGUUC